GAUGAACGCUGGCGGCGUGCCUAAUACAUGCAAGUCGAGCGAGCGGACGAGAAGCUUGCUUCUCUGAUGUUAGCGGCGGACGGGUGAGUAACACGUGGAUAACCUACCUAUAAGACUGGGAUAACUUCGGGAAACCGGAGCUAAUACCGGAUAAUAUUUUGAACCGCAUGGUUCAAAAGUGAAAGACGGUCUUGCUGUCACUUAUAGAUGGAUCCGCGCUGCAUUAGCUAGUUGGUAAGGUAACGGCUUACCAAGGCAACGAUGCAUAGCCGACCUGAGAGGGUGAUCGGCCACACUGGAACUGAGACACGGUCCAGACUCCUACGGGAGGCAGCAGUAGGGAAUCUUCCGCAAUGGGCGAAAGCCUGACGGAGCAACGCCGCGUGAGUGAUGAAGGUCUUCGGAUCGUAAAACUCUGUUAUUAGGGGAGAACAUAUGUGUAAGUAACUGUGCACAUCUUGACGGUACCUAAUCAGAAAGCCACGGCUAACUACGUG
rnacentral:rRNA from 1 species